rnacentral:rRNA from 1 species
GUGAAAUUCUCAGAUUAACUAAAGACUAACUUAUGCGAAAGCAUUUGCCAAGGAUGUUUUCAUCAAUCAAGAACGAAAGU